CUUCUGAAUUAUAAUAGGCUAGAAUUAUUUUACUUAUUAGUAUCAAGAAUUGGCAACUAAAGUUAAAAACUUUUAAGAUUUUGGUUAGAAAACACGCUUUAAAAAUACAGACUCAAAUAAUUCAUCCAAAUCAACUUAAAAACGCUGUCUACCCAAAGAUUCACGCCCUAGAUUAAACAGUUGUUUAGAUGUUUUUUUUUUUUUUCAUCCAUUAAGUGUAACAUACUGUAAUACUAGAAUCUGUAUCAUGUUCAGAGAAUCACAAGAAACCCAAAAAGAAUUCUGACUUUGCCAAGUCAUUGUUUUUUGAAAGAAUUCUGAAUGACAUCAUUUUAUAAGAGAAGCAUGACAGUUGUGUGAAGUACAACCUCUCAUUUGACUGCUUUUCACAAAUACUGAGUAUAAAUGACCCCAGAAAACAUCUGAGGCAUUCAGCAGCUAAAUCCAUGCCAGAAACCAGCUAUGAGCCAGCUGAUGACGACAUAACCACAGCGGUUCACAUACACAAGCCGUCUCCUUUAGCCACUUUUAUCAGUCAUUGCUCUAUUUUAAGAUCUAUCUGUUCUGAGAUCACGAGGGUCAAAUGUCAGAGUUAUCUGAAUGCCACAUCAACAAGAAGAGUUAAGCACUGAAUGAUUAGAAAAGAUGACAAUAACAGUCCGGUUUCUCAGUCCGACCUCUGUCUGUCUGGCCACUUUUCUUUACAGCUCUCUAUAGAUCAGUCUUAGCAAGAAAAAAGAUGCCAUUGUUUUGGAGAGGGAAGGGCUCAUCCUUUCUGCCAGGAGAGGAAGCUGGGGCAGAGGCAGGACGCUUACACCAGCAAUGACCUCAUCAUCCUGGGCUGUCUACGGUUACCAGCAACAACAGGAUUCCCGUAAGUAGUGGGCGACAGAAAACAAGUUGGAUAUUGUUUAGGUGCAUUUUAGGAUGAAGCAAUGAACAGCCCGAGGAGAGCUGAGGAUGAAGAAAAAAAACGAAGGAAAGCUGACUUGAGGAAUGUGCUGUGUCAGAGGAACUGUGUUUGGACUUUACCAGGGCCCCCAGAGAGUCUCUGUCACUUUGUGCUCCCUGGACAAUAUAAUCGAGACAGCAGAAUGCUAGAUACGUGCCAUAAAACUAAAGGCCUACGCAGGUACAGUGAUGCAAUAUUUACACUUUUUCUGAGUCACUGCAAGUCCUGUCUGCCUGGAAACCAUUUCUUACUCAGAGAGAGGACAAAGCAAUCUUUAUUGUGUAACAUCUCAUCAUUACACACAUUGCACAAAAAUGUACCUCAUGGUUAUAAAGAGAGAGAGAGAGAGAGAGAGAGAGAGAGAGAGAGAGAGAGAAUAAAAGGUGUUUAAAAGCAAUUGGUUUUCAAUGAAUGACAUCCUCAUUGUAGAAUCAACAUAAUAUGAUUAUGAUGUUUAUGCAUUUGAACCUUUUUCUGCAAAAACCCUCAUUUAUUUUUUCAACUGAAGAAAGAAAGACAUGAACAUCUUGGAUGACAUGGGGAUCUUUAUGGAGUCUUUUUGUUUCACUGUUAUGCGGCCACACUGGGAGCAUUUUAAGACGGCAGUGUGAGUUCCUGUAAGCUGAUCUGUCACAGCUGGGCCGAGGAUGAUGUGCCGUGGGUGUGACGCCUCCAGGUUCAGUAACGCCCGAGAGGCACACCCAGUCCUCCUCACCUUCAGAGCAAACCUCCCACACACACGCAUGCACACACACGCACGCACACACAAACAGAAAAAGCUGCUCUGACAGGGGCUUUCUGUAUAAUAAUGCAUCAGUCACACUCAGAACAAAAUCUUUUGGUGAGCAAAUUAAACUAUGUACAUUUGUUGAUAAAACUUUCUGUACUUCUUGGA